rnacentral:lncRNA from 1 species
AGGAAGACACUGUAGAUGACCAGGGUUAGUCAUCUUAAGAAAAUGUUGUAUAAAGUAGGGGACAAGCUGGAAGGUCAAGGAGAAACUCGGUCCCAAAAGGACAAACUGGAUGUCAUGAAGACAAACUGGAACCUGCAUCUGUGAUUCCCUGCAUGCAAUCCCAGUGAAGUGGACAAUGCAUGGGAGGGGCUGGAGCUUUCACCAUGAGGCUAUAGGCCCAUCUGGACCAAAUCUUGGAGAAGCUGAAGAAGGAGACGGGCCAAAUCUGCAGCCUAGGCAUCAAAUUGGAACUGCAGCUGCCGACUGACACCACAGCCACAACAGUGCAGGAUCUGAGUUGCAUUUGCGAUCUAUACUACAGCUCAUAGCAAUGCUGGAUCCUUAACUCACUGAGCAAGGCCAGGGAUUGAACCCAUAUCCUCAUAGAUACAGGUAUUGAAAAGAUACACCAAAAUGUUGAUCUUACCCAAGUGCAAAAUGCAGAAUCAGAAUUGGUGUUCUCUGGAAAAAGACAAAAGUCAAGCCUUGGUAUAAAUUUGGAAAAACACUUCUUUUUUCUUAAUGGAAGCUAUGGCAGAACCCAGGAAUCAUACACUCAAGGCUGUGGAGAGCACCUUGUGUAUUCCCGUGAGGUUGACUUUCCUUUGGGUGUAGCCAUCAGGCGGUGCAGGCAGGAGACCCGAGGAUGGAAGGACACGAAGGUCUCCCUGUGCCUCUCGCUACUCUGCCAGGCUCGCCAUUGGCGGCGAUGAUUCCUCCGCUGAGGCUCGUGAUGCUUCUCAGGAAGCCCGCUGAAACAGACGGUCUUAGAAACUGCAUCCUGUACCGUCCCCUUCAAGUCAAGUGAUUACCGUCUCCUCUUUUCCAACAGUAGGUUUUGCCUCAUAGUAUCCAAAGUCCUGAUAGAGAAUAGCUACAUUUAGGGGGAUCUUACCUGAUGCCGGGGCACUCCCCUAAGGGAUUUUUUUUUUUCUUUCAACACUCACUGAAUUCCUACCAUAACCCUGCUUGUGGUAAACUAAGGCUUCAUGAAGUUCAUUGUCUCACAUUGUGAAUGGAACUGGCUUCUGGUAAGAGCACAGACUCUAGAAUCUGACUGCCUGGCUCUAAACGCUGCCCCUUCCACCUGUGAGCUCAUGGUCCUGAGCACAUUUCUAUUGGUCAGUCUCCUCACCUAUAAAAGGGAUAAAAAUAGUACUUCAGAAGGUAGUUGUGAAGAUGAAAUGUGCUAAUAUAUGUAACACACUUGGAGAAUAUGGCUUAUAGGAGAUGCCUGUGUGUGUUUGCUAUCAAUAUAAAUCCAAAGCCCAUCCAUUUACUGCAUUAUACUCACCUCCUAUCAGAAAGCAUACACAUUUUCUUUAGAGUGGAAGAUCCCUGCCCAUCACUUUUAAAUAACCUGUAUGGUGUUCUCUAUUUUAUGCAGUGGAUUGGCUCUCAUUUAAACACAAUGCUUUUAUGUUUAAAAAGCAAAACAGGAUACUCUGUUAUUUUUUCAUUGCCAGAAAGGCAAGUAUAGAUAGUAUCACAGAAAAAGUUGUAGAAGCUCCCCUGUUGGUGUACUGAACGAAUUAUAGGAACACAGAUAAUCUUAAAGACGGAAGGCCUCUGACCAUCUCAUUUACAUACAGAGAAACUUGGAAAUUUGGCUACAGUCUCACUGUUGUUCUAUUAUAAGAAAAAAAGGGGUUCUUUGUGGACAUUAGCGUGUUUAGGAUAUAGAUAAAAAUCUGCCUUGGAUGACAAGGAGAGUGAAGCUCAAAUUUGAAGCCUCUUACCAGACCUGAGUACAUAAUUGAAGAAACAGUCAUAGACUCUGUGUUCUUUAAAGGCAAAGGAAGCCAGCAAGCUGAAGAAAGCAUGUGAAGAACUGGGUCAAGCAGUUUCAGAUACAGAGAACCAUGGAGAAAUGUUCUGCCCACCACCUUCAGCUCUCCUUAUCUCUACUGUCACACCAAAAUAACCCUGUGAUAUGUAACAGACAAUACUGAUACAGGAACCUAAAUUCCAUAUCUUGCCCUCUUAAUCCAAGAUAGCAAAACAUAACUAUCUAAACCAAUUAAGAAAGAGUCUUGGAGUUCCCAUAGUGGCUCAGUGGUUAACGAACACGAUGAGUAUCCAGGAGGAUGCAGGUUUGAUCCUGGGUUUGCUCAGUGGGUUAAGGAUCCAGCAUUGCCAUGAACUGUGGCGUAGGUCGCAGACUCAGCUCAGAUCCAGCAUUGCUGUAGCUGUGAUAUAGGCCAGCAGCUACAGCUCUGAUUUGAUCCCUAGCGUGGGAACCUCCAUAUGCCGCAGGUAUGGCCCUAAAAAGACAAAAAAGAAAAAAGAAAAGAGUCUUAAAAUUCAUCGUUAUUGUCUUAAAACUAUGGUUAACUAGAUAAACUCCACAUUGUUCUUUAUUGUGUAUUAUGUAAACUGGUCUUCAGAACCAUUUCUGAACAAGUAGUUAAAUGAAGAAAAUCUGCUAGUGUUUUACUACUUUAUGUCUCUUAAAAUGCAAGUGUUCUUAGCAAAUAGAUAGCCGUCAUAGUGAUUAUCGAUCAUUUUUACCUUUAUUCCCACUUUGCUUAUUUAAACAUUCAUCCAGGCAAUUAUUCACUUGACACUCAGUGUGUCUGGCGCUUGCUAAGCAUCAAGUAUGCAAAGGCAGUUACGUAAGACUUGGUAGCUGUCUGCAAAAUGCCUACCAGCUGCAGACCUAGAGAUUAUUAUACUAAGUGAAGUAAGUUACUCAUAUGCAAAAUCUAAAAUAUGACAUAGAUGAACUUAUUUACAAAACAGAAACAGACUCACAGACAUAGAAAACAAACUUAAUGGUUAACAAAGAGGGAAGAGGGGGAGGGAUAAAUUAAGAGAUGGAGAUUCACAUAUAUACUCCUAUAUAUAAAAUAGAUAAUCAGCAAGAACCUACUGUAUAGCACAGGGAACUAUAGUCAAUAUCCUAUAAUAAACCAUCAUGGAAAAGAAAAAGAUAGUCACAGGCUAAAAAGGGGAACAAUUCCAAAACAAUAAGCAUGCUAAUAACUUAGGUGUGCCAGGACUGAAACGUCAUGGUCGGAAUGAGCAGGGCCAUAGAUAUAGAAACAUACAACUUCCCCUCAUGGUAAAGGCAAAGGCCUGGAGAGUUGACAAGUCACAGAGUAAACCUCAGGUAGGGAAGGCUGAAUGGGAGCAGAGUUCGACCGCAUGAAUUUGGAGUGCCAGCAUGACAUCUUGAUGGCAAUGUCAGGUCAGCUGCUGGACACAAGGGUUUAGAAUUCAGAAGGGAAUUCCAGCCUGGAUACUGGGGAGUUAAAAGCACCCAGGGAGGUCCUCAAACCAGGGGUGUGGAGAGAUUCUUCAGGGAGAGCUCUUCCUCAAGAGAACAUGGGGAGACAUCACCCAUGAGAGCCAAGACCAUAAAAAUGUGUCUGUGUUGCCAGAACACCAUUAAAAUCCUUUCCUAAGAGCUAAUUUUGAAAGAGAAUAUGCAAUGGAAUACUACUCAGGCAUAAAAAAGAACAAAGCAAGGCCAUUUGCAGCAAAAAUGGAUGGCACUAAAGACUCUCAUACAAAGUGCAGUAAGUCAGAAAGAGAAAGAAAAAUACCGUAUGAUAUCACUUAUAGCUGGAAUCUAGUAUAUGGCCCAAAUAAAACUUUCCACAGAAAAGAAACUCAUGGACUUGGAGAACAGACUUGCGGUUGCCAAGGGGGAGGGGGAUGGACUGGGAAUCUGGGGUUAAUAGAUGCAAACUACUGCAUUUGGAAUGGAUAAGCAAUGAAAUCCUGCUGUAUAGCGCUGGGAACUGUAUCUAGUCACUUGUGAUGGAACAUGAUGGAGGAUAAUGUGAGAAAAAGACUGUAUACGUGUACGUGUGACAGGGUCACUUUUCUGUAGUAGAAAAUUGAGAGAACACUGUAUUCCAACUAUAAUGAAAAAAAUAAAAAUCAUUU